GAUUAUGUUACAAUCAAUUUUGCCCAUGGUAAUAUAUAUGCAGCAGCAAGGAAAAAGUCAAGACGCGUUGUAAAAAUUUCGCGUGAUUUCAUUUUGACGCUAACAUUGUUGCUGAUGUUGUUGUCGUCCUGAUAUUGUAUUAUCCCGGAAAUUUGGCAGUAUUUAGGGAAAUCGUUGCUAAAGAUUUCGCCAUUCGCUGCCGCAGACACAGUUACAGCCACAGCAGUGCCAGCUGCGGUUGUGGGUGGGGUGGGUUGGGGUGGGGUGCGGUGGAUUGGCAGCAGCAGCGUAACCCAACUUGCAAACGUAACAUUAUGCCUGUUUGGGAGCUGCAGCCCCAAUGGAAACCAAUGGAACCAAAUGGUACCCAGUCCCACAUCAAUGGCAAACGCGUGCCUAUAAAUUUCCAGGGGUUUGUGUGUGUGCGUGUGGGCACACCCUUGUGGGCGGGGCCAUUCAUUUGGUGUCGCUAACUUGAGAUUUUUAUUUGCCAGCAUACGCAAACGUUGCGUGCGCUGGUGGCACCGCCUGGAUUUCUUUAUUCAAUCGUUUUUGUUGCUCCCACAGCGCCCUCAUCAUCAGUUGCCAUAAAAUAAAAGUUACGCACACCCCAGGGACAACAUAACAGGCCACACACACAGACUCGCACACACACGCACACACACAUGCAUGUCCUGCGGCAUGGUGGCAACCAUGGCAUGCUUGACCGAUUUUGUAAGGUUUCAUUUUCAAUACGGAGAGACAUAUGAGCAGUGACCACAAAUAAUUUCCAUAGCGGCAAAAUGGAAAAUUGCGAACAAAAAAUAGAAGAGUAGGGAAAUUUGCAUGCUGCGCAGUUUUCAAUGAACAAUGACGUCACACACACAUACACGCACACACGCUCGAUAAGGAACACAGCAGUUGACACAGCAUUGCAGAGGCUUAUCAAAUCGAGCUAUAAACCGAACCCAACCCAACCCAACUCAAGCCAACUCAACUCAAGUCAAGUCAAGUCGAGCAGAAGCAAUGAAAAUUCAGCCUGAGAUUUUCCUGGGCUGGAGGAAAGUGCUAAGCUUAUUGCGUCGUUUAGGCAACACCCGAAACGAAUUGCCGGCGAAAAGACGCCAACGAAUGUGAACCCUUUGAGUGACAGACAUGAAGAUAUAAGCACACAUCCAAACAAAGGCGCACACUCACACGCACACACACACACAUACGCACACACUAAACGGAGCAGUCGUUUAGACUUUUCACGUAAGCAACUUUAAGGCUUUCAUUUGCAAGGAAAGCUGUGACUGGCUUCAAAGUGGCGCAAAGUGUCGCCUUCGCGUCGUCAGUGGUGCGCCACAUGCGAGUGAGUUUCUGGCCAGCAGCUUUCCGGUCGGGACAUGGCUCAUGUUACCAGGCAACUGGGCGGACUGUUGGGCGGUGUUGUAUAACGUGUAACGGAUCUGCAAGUUUUUUUUCUCUCUGCACACACGAGGCGCACAAGAAACUUGGCCAUUGCUGCUGAUAAGAAAUGUGAGCUUGAAGCUACAAGCUCGGAACUGGGAGCUGGGAACGCAGUCUGGGAAAUUUAUGCAGAUUUUGAGGCCCAAAAGACAACACACACGCUGAUGUGACAUGGGCAUGGGUUGAGUAAAGUGACUAUUGUAAAAUAUAUUAACAUAAAUUUGACAUAAAUGCUUCAAGAACAGUUUUUACCGCAACGCUUCAGGCGGAGCUUGUCUAAAAAAUAUAAAUGGCAAAGCAAAUCUAAAACAGCUAAAGCCAACGCGACGUCAACGCGCAUAAUAAAUGGCAAAUAACUCUGCAAAUGCCGCCCGUUGCUCCGGUUGGACAGUCAUUGGAUAUUCAUCAUACGCCCCGUUGCCCCGCUCUUCCAUUGCUCGCAGCAGCGAAACUCGUCAAAAAGUUUGAAAUUAAUUUAAAUUUUUAAUAUGUUGCC
rnacentral:sRNA from 1 species